ACCGGGUUGCUGACUUCCGGAGCGAUUUACGCUAUUGUUUUUACCAUUAGCUAGCUAACAGUCGUCGAUGCAUUUCUGACUGAAAUAGUUUGCAAUGCCUACGUUCAAAUUACAGCCCCGCGAAGGACGUGCUAAUGAACAUUGUUCAGUGCCUCUGUGUUCAGGUUCUUCAAAAUGUAAUGGUAGUGUGAGCUUCCGUAGUUUCCCAGUUGAUGUAGAGCUCAGGAAGCGGUGGUUGGCGGCAGAACGUCGUGACAACUUUACUGGCACCAAACGCGCGAAGGUGUGUAGUACACAUUUCGUCAAGAGUGACUUUGUCCAUCUUUAGAUUUGCAAACUACACCCACCUGAUUGACUUCUGGCACUUGAUUGAGCGGGCAGCAGAGACCAAGUUUAUAAGAGUCACAAGCACCAAUCCAUCUGAAACAAGUAUUACUUGAAUAAAACCAACCCUGCCAUCAAUCGACUAGUUCUUCUUGUUUAUUACUCAUCUGUCGCUGGGUCUGAAGCAGAAGGAUUUGGCCCAUCGCUUCAGGAUCCAGCAAUAGACAGUGAAACAGAUUAUCAUCUUCCUCCACUGUCUGCUUGGAUCAGCACGGAUAUGGAUCCCCAAGGAAAUAUCAACGUGCAGCUGCCACCUGAGUUCAAGGACUAUCCAGACACCCAGGUAGUGAUCGACUGCACUGAACUCCGCUGCCAGACACCAUCUUCACUGCUACUGCAGAGUGAGGUGUUUUCUUCCUACAAGUCACACUGUACCUUUUAAGGGCAUGUUGGGAAUGUCACCACAUGGAGCUGUCACUUAUGUGUCAUCGUUGUAUGCUGGAUCUGUGAGUGACAAGGAGAUAUUCAAGUAGUCUGGAAUUAUUUCCUUACUCACCCCUGACAUCAGCGUUAUGGUGGAAAAGGGCUUUCUAGUAGAUUAUAUUGUUCCGUGCAAGGUCUACCAGCCAGCCUUUCUGUCAAGACACACACAGAUACCAGCGCAUGAGGUUAGGAAGACCCAAUCCAUUGCCAGGCUGAGAGUGCAUGUUGAAUGAAUGAUCCACAGAGUAAAGGAGCAUAAGCUGUUUGACACAGUCAUCCCCCUGACCAUCUCAGGCAGCAUCAACCAAUUAUUUGCAGUGGCGUGCCUGUUGGUCAACUAUCAAAAUGGACCUUGGGUCAGAGCAUAGGCCAAGCCAGUGUAAAUGUACGUGUUUAUUUGCUAGCAGCAAAAUAAUAAUUUGUUUAUCUAUGACAUGUAUCAAUAAUUUGUAUUGUAGCGAAUAUCUGUUUGUGUGGAGCUUGUAUUGGCUUUAAUUAGGCAGAGUUUAGGGGUGGGGGAAAGAAAUAAUUUAAACACAGAAUAGCCAGAAUGCAAGAUUGAAUAAAAUAUUAGAGGUGUAAUUGAUUAACUGAACUGUUGAACAUUUGCUGAAAUACAUUUUUUAAAACAAA